CCUUCUUCCUCUUUGCCAUCUGUCUUGUGCUCAUCUCCUCCGAGAAGCCUUCCAUGACUAAUCCUACUCUCAGCUCCAACUCAUCCCUUGAAGAUUUAUACAAACUAGAUUUAGCAUUCUAGAAGAGGAAGAUAGUGAUGGCCCAGAGUGCAGAAAUGAGUAUUGUGACCGGGAGCAGAUAAGCUAGAUUCCAGGGACUUGGAGAUGUGUGGGCGUGUGGUAGCAGUAGACCUGGGAUGAGGAGAGAGAGACAAAAACUGAGAAGUACCGUAAUGUGCUAACUCGAAGUAUUGGAGACACCAGAGCCAUCUUCACCCAUCCGAAGGGCUGUGGUGUCCAAGAGAGAUGGGCUUGAACCUUAGCGUUUGCUUUCAGUGCCCCGCUGGGCUCACAUGACCCCUGUGCCUGCCACAAUCACCCGGGCUGCCAUCACUAGCCUGUCAGACCCCCAAAUGUGGAUACCCCGACGUCCUCAUCUUUGUAUCUGCAGUGCCUGGCAUGUCGUAGUAACUCAAUAAACGUUUGUCAAAUGCAUGAA